AUUGAUCAUUUUUCCACAGCUGCUGUUUGCCACGAUCCCACCAUUCCCAAUAACAGCACAUGUGUCCCAUCUUUUAUUUGAGAAAGGAUGACCCUGAAAUCAUUAACAACAGAAAAUCUUAAAAUACAUCACGUUGCGUUCAGGGAUCAGCAAAUGAGACUGUUGCCCGACAACCUUGGAAACUCUCUCGAGAACUCUGCCCACUCCGCCAUGAUGGACGUCAAAACAACCAAUGCUCUCCUUUAAAGGCUACGAGAAUUCUUCUGAAAAAUGAAGCCUAAGUGAAAAUUCAAGCUGGGAGACGACACACAGCCGUCCUACAUCAGACGCUCAUCACGCCCCCGCCGCAGCCAAUCAGGACAGGUGCGCCGCACCGCUCCAGCCAAUCGCUGUUCACGGAUCCCUUCAAAGGACAAUCCUUCCCGGAUCUUCUCGCUCAUCAGCCGCGCUUUGACCCGCCUCCUCCCCAUCUCCAUCUUCAACCCAGGGACAUCUUCCUAGCCCCUUUCUGCUGCUUCGUCUCAAGACUCCGUUCCACCACCAGUAUUCGGACCUGGGGAAGACCACCGAGCACCUGGACCAAUCACCUGCCUGGUAAUCCUCAGCUCAUAAGUCUUCCGCUGGGUUCGAGCGCCAAAAGUUUCUGUAUCAUUAAGUCUGCUAACUGCUUUUCCUUCUCUGUGUGAGUCUAUCCAGAUUGAAUUAUUAUUUUGUCGUUGUCUAAAUAAUCUUUAAAAAAAAUAAAUAAAUAAAAAAACUUAGAGGGAGAUUAUGUGAUUGGAUCAUCUUGUAUUACUGGUGAGAAAUAGACCUGACGUAAAUAUUUGGUUUUCACAGCUUUGACCCGGCCAUGUUGUUAGUAAUUUUUUUCUUGUAGCUUGCUGAAUGCUGGGAACUUGUCAGGAAUAGUUUUGUUGACUGUGUGGUUUUUGCUCUAUAAACUAUUGAACUCAAAAUCUUAUCUUUGAUAUGGGCGAAAGCUAGGACUUUGUAAUCAAUCUAGACUUUGUAGAUUAAGUCUAGAUUACGAAGAAGGCAUACCAACAAAACAAGAAAUCUGGGAGACUUAAUGUGCCAAUAAAUUCACAUUAAACCGUUAUCUCUCCCACGUCACCAAAGAGGGUAGAGAUGGCUCUACCCUCUUUGGGUAGAGCCAUAUUCUUAUA